GUUCGUCAAAGGGAGGAAGAUAAUAGGUGCAAUAAGAUGAUGGUAAAGUUCAGAGAAGAGAAAAUUCAAAGGAUGGAGUCACUUGUCAAUGGACUAAUCCCAGCAGAUAAUUAUUUAUUGGAGGAAAACAGUGCACUUACUGAAGAAAUUCAGUUGCUUAAUCCCAGCAGAUAGUUAUUUAUUGGAGGAAAACAGUGCACUUACUGAAGAAAUUCAGUUGCUUCAAGCUAAGGUUGAUAGAAACCCAGAAGUUACUCGAUUCGCAUGUGAAAACAUUA
rnacentral:lncRNA from 1 species